ensembl:snRNA U6 U6 spliceosomal RNA
GUGUUCAGUUUGACAGCACAUGUUAAAACCAACACGAUACAGACAAGAUUAGCGCAGUCCCUGUGCAAAGAUGACAUACCAAUUAACAAGACAUUCUGUAUUUUG